UACGGAGGGGGCUAGCGUUGUUCGGAUUUACUGGGCGUAAAGGGCGCGUAGGCGGCAUGACAAGUCACUUGUGAAAUCUCUGGGCUUAACCCAGAACGGCCAAGUGAUACUGUCGCGCUAGAGUGCAGAAAGGGCAAUCGGAAUUCUUGGUGUAGCGGUGAAAUGCGUAGAUAUCAAGAGGAACACCUGAGGCGAAGGCGGGUUGCUAGGCUGACACUGACGCUGAGGCGCGAAAGCCAGGGGAGCAAACGGG
rnacentral:rRNA from 1 species